rnacentral:rRNA from 1 species
GGAUGCGAUCAUACCAGCACUAAAGCACCAGAUCCCAUCAGAACUCCGAAGUUAAGCUUGCUUGGGCGAGAGUAGUACUAGGAUGGGUGACCUCCUGGGAAGUCCUCGUGUUGCAUUCC